GUGUCCAUAACAAUUUGUUAAAAUUUAAUGAAAAAAAUAAAAUAAAUUUGACUAACCUAGUAGUUAUUUCAUAUUAUUAUUUUUCGAUGUGUGUAAACAAAUACCUCUGCGUACCUUUGCGCAUGCGCGAUGCGGGAAAUUGGAAACAUCAUAACAAAAAUGGCGAACACCCGAUCUAAGUGGAAGGGUCCUGAAUCAGUUUUAACCGAGAGCAAGAAGAAACGAAUAAUCGAGAACGUGAUUUUAACUUCACAAAGACGAACACGUAUCUUAGAGACAGAGCAAGCAGAUGGCAUCAGUUAAAAAAGACCGAAGGGAUUAAAACAGACCCUCCUUUGGCCAAGCUAAUGCCUUGAACAGUUUUGAAAGCAAGCCUGAGAUCUAGAGCGUACGUAGAUCUGGUCAUAAAGAAACUGAAGCCAAGCAAUGAAGAUGACCACAGGCGACAUGGAGUACAUGCAGCCACUACGGACGACACUAUUACUAGUCGCACUUAGAUAUCACAGGAUUUAUAACACAAAAGUUCUUGGAGGACAAAAAGUGCCGUACAAGGUGGAAAGGACAUACCAACACAUCCAGGGACUCAUCAAUCUGAUAGUGGCCAACAGAAUAACAGAUAGAACUGUAAUAUCUAGCCAAAACCCUUGCAUCAAAUAGAUCCCAGAAGAUUCAAACUCCUAGCCCAUGCUCCUCCACCAUCUACUGCCCAAAUGGUAGAGGAGAAGAAAUCCCAAUUAAGAUGAAUGGGAAUAAUUGACAUUUUGAGACUAAUCACGUUCCAGAGACUAUUACUUUUGAAUAUCUGUCCUUACGUUUAGUAGCUGACCUGGUCCGAAGGACCAAGGUGAGUAUGCCAUACUGAGGCGUCCGGCAUUCGUCUGUCAACAUUGUGAACACAAUAUUUGAAUAACUUGAGUAAAUGUCAGAAUAUACCAAAUUUAAUAAAACUUUAUAAGCAGCCAUAUAUCGACAAGAUCUCAGACAACUUCAAAAAUAGAAAUUAUUGGACAGUAGUUUUUGACAGUAGUUUGCAGAGUUAUUGCCCUUUGUAAUGGUCUUAUUAUUAACAUUUUUUUAGUUCACUGGUCAGAAUGGAAACUCUUUUAGAAAUUCUACUAGUCCUGAACAAUUAAAUGGAUUUGAUGAAAUUUGGUCAGGAGAAUUAUGUGGCAAUGUUAUAUGUUGCAUAAAUGAAGCGUCACCAUCAUCUGAGUGGCACCUUUCGGGGCAAAAUAAGAGAAUUACCUGGUAUAGCAAAAAAAAAAGGAUUUAACUCAUUUUUUUUUUCAAGAAUUACAUCUAGUCCACUUGUAGUUUGAACCAUUGUUGGGAGAGGUAGUUCAAAAGUAGAAAAAUGUUUGAAAUGUAACUUAAAUUUGAGUAGUAUUUAGUUUAUUGGUAUAAUGUUACUAUAAUAGCUUAGCUGUUAUCCAUUCCAUUAAUGUCAUAUGAUAAUCAGUGCAGCCUUAAUUUCAAAAUUUAUAUAAUCUCAAGAGACAAACAACAUUGUCUGGUCUGAAAUUUAAAUGCUUAGUCAAAAAUGAUUAUUCAUAGCUGUACAUGUGUGCACUAUUGAAAUAUUCAUGUUAACACUCACAAGUAAUUUAUAAACUCUCAAAAUUCAUUGAUGUCAACACCCACUAGUGCUCAAUGGUCAUGGAUGACAACACUCACUAGUAGUAGUACUCAAUAGUCAUUUAUGUCAACACUUACUAAUACUCAAUAGUCAUGGAUGACAACACUCACUAGUACUCAUUAGAAACGUAUGUCAACACUCCAUAAUACUCCAGUCAUGUAUGUCAACACUCCAUAAUACUCAAUAGUCAUUGAUGUCAACACUCAAUUAUCACUGAUGCCAACAAUUGUCAUUGAUGUUAAGUCACUAGUCAUGGCAGUCAACUUUCUCUAGUCAUUGAUGCCAAUGCUUACAUCUGAGCAAGACAAUAAAUACAAUGUGGUAAAUUCUUUAUUUGCAUGUUUGACUUUUCUCAGUGUUUUCUAUAUCAAAACUAUUUGUGAGACAAAUUGUACUGUGCAUUUACUGUUUAGUGUAUUAUCAACAUCAUAAGUCACUGUUCUGUUGAUAUUCUGAUAAAUUAGGGUUGGAUCUUUAGGUCAACUGAGAUGAAGUAUGAAGUGACCUAUUCUAACUGACUUUUGUCCGUCGUCUUUCCUUGCUUGUCUUUAAACAAUUUGUCAGUAAGCUUUCAUGGUCAAAAGGUCAACCAAAACUGUGGAUUACAUAGUCCCAACCUCCAGGGACCUGAGGGGCAGGGUCAAAAAGGGUCAAAUUGACUAAAAUUUAAAAGAUCUUCUCAGCUCGCAGAUAUGGUAGAAUCAUAUACUGGUGUCUUUAACAAAAAUUGUGAAUUUCAUGACCCUGAUGGGGGACUAAAUUUAUAUAGGGAAAUCACAAUUUUGAUCAGCAUUUGUUUGAUUUCUAUUGAAAUUCAUUCUAACUUCAUUAACAUUAUCAGCAUGGGAUGACAGCUUGAUCGCAUGCACAUGUUGGCCCUGACUGACCUUCUGGGCGAGGCUAAAAAGGGUCAAUUAAAUUGAAUAUUUCAAAACUCAGGUGACCAUUAAGGCCAAUUGGCCUCUUGUUUUACAUAAGCCAGUAUCAGUGAAAACUGCUGCAUAUGAAAUAUGGUACAUAAAACAAAAGGUUUCCAUGAAUUCAAUGAUGUAAUGUAAUUUAUUUUGAUUUUAUAUCAAACCUUUUCACUGCACAGGUGUCAAAACAACUUCCUUGAAAUAAGAUAAUUCAGCUUAUGUGUAUGGGCAAACAGACAAAGUGAUUACCAAUAAAAUGCUUAAAUUUU